UAUAAACCUCAGCCUCCCCAUUUUCUCUCUUCACCUCUCUCUCUCUCUCUCUCUCUCUCUCUCUCUGUGAAAUCUAGGAAGAGCAGCCAGCCAUGUCUUUUAGAAUGUCGAAUGCAUCGUCGGGCAUGGGAGUAGCUGAUCACAGCAAGAUGACCUUCCUCGAGCUGAAGAGGAAGAAGUUGCAUCGAUACGUGGUAUUCAAAAUCGACGAGAAGAAGAAGGAGGUUGUCGUGGAGAAGACGGGAGGCCAGGGAGAGUGCUACGACGAUUUCACCGCCUCUUUGCCGGAGAGCGAUUGCCGAUAUGCCGUCUAUGACUUUGAUUUCGUCACCGACGAGGGUUGCCAGAAGAGCAAGAUCUUUUUUGUUGCAUGGUCUCCUUCAGUCUCUCGUAUUCGUUCCAAGAUGUUGUAUGCUACAUCCAAGGAUAGGUUCCGCCGUGAGCUUGACGGCAUUCACUAUGAGAUCCAAGCCACUGAUCCUACAGAGAUGGAUCUGGAAGUGCUCAGAGAACGUGCAUACUAAAAACUACCGAGCCGCACAAACAUUUUUCAUCAGAACAGACUACUGGAUUUGUGUCUUCUGUCCUCUGCUAUUGCUGGCAAUCUACAGUCAUUCUCUGGGCAAUAGCUCGUAUUAUAAAUAAAUCUCUACAAGGUAGAAGGCUAAAAGGAGGCAGCCACAUUCAGGAUAAAAGCACAAGAUCGUAAUGGGCCUGCUUAACUUCAAAGUUAUAUCCUGCUUUUAUAAGGGAUGAGGCAAAAUAUUGUGGCAGCUUUACUCCACUUUUGACUGUAAUGCGCUAACACCAUAAGAUUCUCACCGUGGGGUCACAAGACGAAUGAACAUAAAAAAUUGGAAAUUAUUUGAAAAUGAAAGGCUAUUGUCCACAGGAAACUUUCAAGUCUUUCACGUUUCCUUUAUUGGCUAUGAAUUUUAGGUUGUGAGCAUUAUCCAUUACCCAUAGGGUAUUCUUCCUGGCUAUUGUCCACAGAAGCUUACCAGUCUCAUGUGUUUUUUUUUUGGGCUAUGAACUUUCCAGGGUUAAGAAAUUGGGAGCCUUAAAGCCUUCGUUUCUUUCAUUCUCCGACGGUUACCCUUCACCUCCGGCAACGCCCUCCCACUUUCUUAAACCAUUAAUUGCCAACGAUGAGUACCCGAUGCCCUAAGCCCUCAUCAUCACCGCACCUCCUCUGCCAUCAUCUCCUCA